rnacentral:rRNA from 1 species
UGUGCCAGCAGCCGCGGUAACACGUAAGAGGCAAGCGUUGUCCGGAAUCACUGGGCGUAAAGGGUACGCAGGCGGUCUGGCAAGUCAGAGGUGAAAUCCAUCGGCUUAACCGAUGAACUGUCUUUGAAACUGUCAGACUUGAGGAUAAGAGAGGAAGAUGGAAUUCCUGGUGUAGUGGUGAAAUACGUAGAGAUCAGGAAGAAUACCAAUGGUGAAAGCAGUCUUCUGGCUUAUUCCUGACGCUGAGGUACGAAAGCUAGGGUAUCAAACGGGAUUAGAUACCCCAGUAGUCC